rnacentral:sRNA from 1 species
CCACGUUUUAGAUGGUAUUUGUGUCUACAUACUAUCCAUUUAAAUUUUAACCACUAUGUUAGCUUUUAUAUUUGUUGUUUAUAUUUUUUUCUGUUACAUUCCAGAGUGAACCUCUGUAUGUUCCUGUGAAAUUCCACGAUCUUCCAAGUGAAAAACCUGAGAGCACAAACAUUGAUACUGAAAAAACCCCCAAAAAGUCUCGUGUGAGGUUCAGUAAUAUCAUGGAGAUUCGACAGCUUCCGUCAAGUCAUGCAUUGGAAGCAAAGUUGUCUCGCAUGUCAUAUCCUGUGAAAGAACAAGAAUCCAUACUGAAAACUGUGGGGAAACUUACUGCAACUCAAGUAGCGAAAAUUAGCUUUUUUUUUUGCUUUGUGGUAGGUCUUUUAUGAUAUGUUUGCAUAUGAUGUUUGAAACUUGAAUUUUAAGACUGUAUACAUACCAACAAUAUAGGAUUGAAGUGUGAGAC